CCUACGGGAGGCAGCAGUGAGGAAUAUUGGUCAAUGGACGAGAGUCUGAACCAGCCAAGUAGCGUGAAGGAUGACUGCCCUAUGGGUUGUAAACAUCUUUUAUAAAGGAAUAAAACGAGGCACGUGUGCCUUUUUGCAUGUACUUUAUGAAUAAGGAUCGGCUAACUCCGUGCCAGCAGCCGCGGUAAUACGGAGGGUCCGAGCGUUAUCCGGAUUUAGUGGGUUUAAAGGGAGCGUAGAUGGGUUGUUAAGUCAGUUGUGAAAGUUUGCGGCUCAACCGUAAAAUUGCAAUUGAUACUGGCAGUCUUGAGUACAGUUGAGGUAGGCAGAAUUCGUGGUGUAGCGGUGAAAUGCUUAGAUAUCACGAAGAACCCCGAUUGCGAAGGCAGCUUACUAAACUGUGACUGACAUUGAUGCUCGAAAGUGUGGGUAUCAAACAGGAUUAGAUACCCGAGUAGUC
rnacentral:rRNA from 1 species